rnacentral:lncRNA from 10 species
UCCAGGUUGGCAAUCACGCCGUUUAUUCGCACUUGGCAGCAAGACAAUGGAUGAUGUGGGAGGUGCCAGGCUACGUGUGAACGGCCCGCGAAUCCAGAAACCCAGAACCCAGCACUUUGCACCCAGCAACCAGGGAGCAGCCAGCAGCACUGCGGACGCGGCCCGGACCAUUCGCGCCCGCGGAUGGGGGGAGUCCGCCCAGGGGCGGGCGCCACGCUCCUGAGGCCCAGGAGGUCCCUAAACAUGGA